UAACGCGAAGAACCUUACCUGGGCUUGACAUCCCCGGCGAUGCCCCUGGAAACAGGGGCGGAGGCCAUCCGGGAGACAGGUGCUGCAUGGCUGUCGUCAGUUCGUGCCGUGAGGUGUUUGGUUAAGUCCACCAAUGAACGCAACCCCUUUGAGCAGUUGCCAGCGGGCGAAGCCGGGAACUCUGCUCACACUGCCCGUUCACGCGGGAGGAAGGUGGGGACGACGUCAAGUCAGUAUGGCCCUUACGCCCAGGGCCGCACACGUGCUACAAUGGCCGGUACAGAGGGAUGCGAAGCCGCGAGGCGGAGCGAACCCCACAGAGCCGGCCCCAGUUCAGAUCGGGGUCUGCAACCCGACCCCGUGAAGUCGGAUUUGCUAGUAACGGCGCCUCAGCAUUUGGUGCCGUGAAUGCGUUCCCGGGUCUUGUACACACCGA
rnacentral:rRNA from 1 species